rnacentral:pre_miRNA from 1 species
GAUUAGUUGAGGUGCACGUAAGAUAACUCGAUGUUAAUUUAAAAAAACAAACAGGAUCUCAAUAAAAUAAAUUUAAAAAAUACAGAAGGGUAAAUAGUGCUUGCAUUAAUUAAUC